rnacentral:rRNA from 1 species
GUCUUUUUGAUAAUAAUUUAAAGUCUAACCUGCCCACUGAAAAUUUUUGAAGGGCCGCGGUAUUUUGACUGUGCAAAGGUAGCAUAAUCAUUAGUCUUUUAAUUGAAGGCUUGUAUGAAUGGUUGGAUGAGGUAUUAACUGUCUCAAUUUAAUAAAUAAUAGAAUUUUAUUUUUAAGUUAAAAAGCUUAAAUAAUUUUAAAAGACGAGAAGACCCUAUAGAUCUUUAUAUAUUAAUUUUUAAUAAUUUUUUAGUUUAAAUUUAUUUUUAUUUGUUAAAGUAUUGAAUUGGGGUGAUUAAAAAAUUUAGUAAACUUUUUUUUAUUAGUUAACAAUGAUUUUUGAAUAAUUGAUCCAUUUUUUGUGAUUAUAAGAUUAAGUUACCUUAGGGAUAACAGCGUAAUUUUUUUGGAGAGUUCUUAUCGAUAAAAAAGAUUGCGACCUCGAUGUUGAAUUAAAGGUUAAUUUUAGGUGUAGAAGUUUAAAAUUUUGGUCUGUUCGACCAUUAAAUC